rnacentral:lncRNA from 1 species
UGACAGUGCAGCAUGGGACAGAACAGGGUAGACACGCUUUUGCUUUCCUGUCUUCCUCUUCUCUGCUGAGGAGCUGCUUCGAAGAGCCUCAGCUGGGAAAGGUCUUCAGCACCAUCUAUCUAGCCCAGAGUGAUUCAGCAGUCUCUGCUUAGCGUGUCUGGCACCUCACUGGACCAUCGAUUAUGCUGAACUCUUCCCAAAGUCCGAUGACGCACCUGAGAGCAAAUGUGACUCACCGUGUAAAUCUCAGCUACGGCACUAAAGAUAUAGCAUUACCUAGGAGCAACACAAUGUCUCAGCAGGUAAAGGUACCUGCUACCAAGCCUGACAGGUAAGUGUGGCUGUAGUCAAAGAAGAUUCUUUUUGCAGCAAACAGAAACCAUCACAGAAAGCCACGACUGGUCAAAAUACAGAGAAGUGGUCAUGAGAGUCAUUACUUCAAAUAAUAUAUCAACAACACAACCCUACAACAAAGGCACUGCAAAAGAGAAGGCAGGGUUGGAACAGAGCCAGAGGACCAGCGUGUCUGCUGCAAGAUAGUGUCUUCUGUACAUGACAAGGAAGACACACCCAUGCAUCUCAACAAUAUGGCUGCCAAAAGAAGACCUGAAAAAUAACAAUGCCAUUUACUGUGCCAACAUGGAUAGAAAAAGAAACUCAUAAGACUUCUAUGGUAAUUUGAAUGAAAAUGGACCCUAUGAGCUCAUGCAAUUGAAUACUUGGUCCUCACUUAAAGAAACUGUUUGGGAAGGAUUAGGAGGUGUGGCCUAGUUGAUGGAAGUGUGCCACUGGAGAGCAGGCUUUGAGGUUUCAAAAGCUCACACCAUUCCUAGUUAGCUCUAUCUGCUUCCUAAUUGUCUCACAAAACGAGCUGUCAGCUAACUGCCCCAGCACCCUGCCUGCCUGUCUGCUGCUGCAGUGCUCACCACCAUGAUAUUCAUGACCUCUAACCUCUGAAACUUUAAGCCCCAGAUAAACUUUUAUAUGUUGGCUUAGCCAUGGUGUUUAAUCACAGCAAUAUAAAAAUAAUUACAACAGUCCCACCCCUAGAUGAAUUGUAUUUUCUACUGGACAAGCUCUCUGAUAGGCUGUCAAAUCACAUGUAGUCAGCUCUAAACACAUGUACAUAUGAGCAACAUUCAAUAAACUCAGCAAGUGGUAUUUAUAAAUAUGUAUGCGAAUAUAUGUAAUAAUUAGAGAACAAACAGCCAUGAAUUUUAGAAGCAGUAAAGAGGAGGCAGGGGAGGAGUUAGAGAAAAGAGAAGGAAAUUAUGUAAAUAUGGGGCUCAUAUAUGAAAUUCUUAAAAAAAAAUCACUUCUUAAAAAAGAAAACACACACACAGUAGAGGACUUCCAGGUCUAUGUUCAUUCAGAAAUGAUGCACCUAAGCCUCAGGGAGUCUAUAGGUCAGGUGGGGAGGAGAGUGGGGCAUCCAUGUGGAAUGUGGAGCAGUUGGAG